rnacentral:rRNA from 1 species
AGGCGUACGGUGGAUGCCUUGGUCGAAAGUACCGAAGAAGGACGUAUUAGGCUGCGAUAAUUUGCGGGGAGCUGCCAAAAAGCUUUGAUCCGCAAGAUUCCGAAUGGAGUAAUCCCCCCGAUUUAUCGGGGACUGUUAACUGAAUUCAUAAGUUAACGGAGGGUACGUGCCGAACUGAAACAUCUAAGUAAGCACAGGAAAAGAGAACAAAAGUUAUUCCCUAAGUAGUGGCGAGCGAAAUGGGAACAGUCUAAACCAUACACCAGGCAUUCGCGCAAGCGAAUGACCCGUAUGGGGUUGUGAGGCAACAGUAGCGACAAAUUUAACUAACAGAACAAGCUGGAAAGCUUGACCAAAGAAGGUGACAGUCCUGUAAGUAAAAGUUAAGUUUGCGUGGUUGAUCCCUCAAGUAGCUCAGGACACGAGUAAUCCUGGGUGAAUCCGGCAGGACCAUCUGCUAAGACUAAAUAUACUUUCGGACCGAUAGUGAACUAGUACCGUGAGGGAAAGGUGAAAAGAAGAGCGGAACGCUCAGUGAAAUAGUACCUGAAACCGUAUGCUGACAAGCAGCGAAAGUCCCGAUUUAUCGAGGAUGAUCGCGUGCCUAUUGAAGAAUGAACCGGUGAGUUAUUUGUUGUGGCAAGGCUAACCCGUCAAGGCGGGGAAGCCGUAGUGAAAGCAAGCCUUAAAAGGGCGAUUAGUCAUAACUUAUAGACCCGAAACCGUGUGAGCUAACCAUGUGCAGGGUGAAGGCCGCCGAAAGGCGGUUGGAGGCCCGAACCCGUAUCUGUGGAAAUAGGUUGGGAUGACAUGUGGUUAGAGGUGAUAUGCCUAGCGAACACGGAGAUAGCUGGUUCUCCCCGAAAUAUAUUUAGGUAUAGCCCUGUGUAAUAACAUUGGGGGUAGAGCUCUGGAUGGAUUUGGCGGCAGCAAUGUCGUCACUCCAAUCAAACUUCAAAUACCAAUGUUUUGUAGCAGGAGUCAGUCCGAUCCGGCUAAGCGGAGCGGUCCUGAGGGAAACAACCCAGAUCGUCAGUUAAGGUCCCUAAAUGCAAGCUAAGUGUUAAAGGAAGUUUAGUUCCUUAGACAGCCAGGAAGUUGGCUUAGAAGCAGCCACCUUUUAAAGAUAGCGUAACAGCUCGCUGGUCUACUACGGAAUUGAGCGCCGACAACGUAUCGGGGCUAAGCUUGCUACCGAAGCUACGAAUCCGAGGUGGUAGGGGAGCGUUCUAAAUGUUAUGAAGCUAAGCUGUGAGGCUUGGUGGAACGUUUAGAAGUGAGAAUGCCGGUAUGAGUAACGUAUGAAUGUGAGAAACAUUCAAGCCGAAAGCCCAAGGUUUCCGAUCCCAUGUUAAUCAGGGUCGGGUUAGUCGGUCCUAAGGUCAGGCCACGUUAGUGGAUUAGCCGAUGGACAACAGGUUAAAAUUCCUGUACUUUUUUAUGUUUGACAAGUUUUGAAGUUUUGAGAAAUCAAAAUCAGGAAGCCAUUAAGGAUGAACAGAGUAGGAAAAUCUUUGCCAGCUAUACGCUGGUACAAGCAACAAGUUAGUGGAGGCAGGCAAAUCCGCUUCUACAAGCUGUCAGUUACGCUGAUUUUAGUGAUCAGUUUGACUGGCUUUAGUCAGCUCAGCUGAUAGCUAAAAAAUACAAGUUGUGAUGUCGGAAGAAAGAGUUUUUCUGUUUUCAGGAAAAGAUUCGUAAUGGAAACAUAGAGAACCCGUACUAAAACCAACACAGGUGGGCGAGUUGAGUAUACAAAGGCUAUCGAGAGAACUAUCCUUAAGGAACUCGGCAAUAUAGCUGGACGUAAGUUAGCGAGAUGUCCUGCCCGUAGAAAUACGGGUUGCAAUAAAUGACGCUGAGCGACUGUUUAUCAAAAACACAGGUCCCUGCUAAUCUGAAAAGAGAUGUAUAGGGGCUGACACCUGCCCAGUGCCAGUAAAUUAAAAUUGGAGAUGACCUCUGAGAGUAAUCAAUGAGUGAGUUUCUGGUCUAAGUUCUGGUGAACGGCGGCUUUAACUAUAAGAGUCCUAUGGUAAUUCGUUAGCGAAAUUCCUUGUCUGGUGAGUUCAGACCCGCACGAAUGGUAGAACGACUUAGCGACUGUCUUGAGGAUAGACUCGGUGAAAUUGCAAUGGCUGUGAAGAUGCGGCCUUCCCAUACUUGGACAAGAAGACCCCGUGGAGCUUUACUGGAGCUUGGCCCUGUUUUGAAAAAUUAAUUGUGUAGCGUAGGAGGGAGAUUCGUCGACAAUGAAACACCUCUCUUUUAAUUUUUCAGGACUAACCCUAAUCCUUAUAAAAACAGGAAAGGAGACAAGGUCUGGCGGACAGUUUUACUGGGGCGGUAGCCUCCAAAAUCGUAACGGAGGCGUACAAAGGUACACUUACCUCAUAAAGAAAUUGAGGUUUAAGCGCAAAAGUAUAUAGUGUGCUUGACUGCGAGACAAACAGGUCGAGCAGGUGCGAAAGCAGGUUUUAGUGAUCCUUAUUUACCUCAUGGGAGGGAAUAGGCUUAUCGGAUAAAAGCUACCCCGGGGAUAACAGGCUAGUCUUGCCCAACAGUCCACAAGGACGGCAAGGUUCGGCACCUAGCGAUGUCGGCUCAUCGUAUCCUGGGGCUGAAGUAGGUCCCAAGGGUCUGGCUGUUCGCCAGUUAAAACGGUACGCGAGCUGGGUUCAAACCGUGUGAGACAGGUUGGACUCUAUCCAGUAUGGGCGUUUGGAUUCUUGAAGGGAGUUGUCUCUAGUACGAGAGGACCGAGAUGAGGAAACCUCUAGUGUGCCGGUUGUACUUACAAGUGCAGCGCCGGGUAGCUACGUUUCUUUUUGAUAAGUGCUGAAAGCAUCUAAGCACGAAGCAGACCCUAAGAUGAGGAAUCUUUAAGACUCCUGGAAGACUACCAGGUUGAUAGGCUGGCGGUGUAAGAUCUGUGAGGAUUUUAGCCAACCAGUACUAAUAGUC